rnacentral:lncRNA from 1 species
GUUCACCUACAAGAGCCGACUCUUAGAGCCGAGUCGUUCGCGAACGACCCAUCACAACAACUUUAACUCCAUUGGUCGGGCCGCCCAACAACAAAUAAAUUGCAGGACUGUAUUCAAGCAGUCGAAAUGUUUAUCCGUCUUCGUUGUUUAAUUUCAAAUAUUGUUUGAACAAACUGUUCACGUAUUGCUUGUCACCAUGGCACACUCCCUUCCUGACCUCUUGGAUGACCUGGAGCAAGAUCAAAAGAGUUGCAGCAAUGAUCAGGUGCUGGAGCGAGAGAGGGAGAUGAAAAGGAGUGAGUUGGAGGUCAUCCACAAUGCCAGUCCUCAGUGUCCGGAGACCUAAAACACAUCCUUUCUGAAGCGCACUACCACACAAACUUGGAGGACAGUUUAUGGUGUUUCUCCCACAUCCACUCAUAAUGCAUUUAAAUCAACAAAAAAUGAAACUUAAUUGAAUUAUUAUUAUUUUUUGAAGAUGAAAAUUACUGAAACAAGAGACAUUUCAAUGAACAUUUUACCUUGUAGAGUAGCUAAUGAGUAAGAAGUAUCAUAAGUAUUUAGUUUGAUGACUGUGAUAAUUGGAAGGUACUAGAUUGAGGGCAAUAUUUUCAUAGUGCAAAAACAUUGUGCAGAUUGCAGAACUCGUAAUCUUAUUGUAAUCUGGCAGCGUGAUUUCAUUUGAAACCGUUUUAAAAAUGUGCCUUUGUAAAGAGGUGACUAUUUAUGCAUUGCUCAGUUUACUAAACUCUAGUUAAAUAAUUGCCUCUUUCUAAUGCACAUUGUUAAAGAAACGUUCAAGGCAGAUCAUCCUACACUAGUAGUAUUGGAAGACUGCUCGGUAUAUAAACAAUAUCAAAAGAGGGGAUUUGGCCCAGAGAUUGGGAAAAGGGUAGAUGAAUAUGGACUCAGGUACCUUGAUA